rnacentral:tRNA from 1 species
GUGUAUAUAAUUUAAAAAAAUAUUAGAUUGUGGUUCUAAAAAUGAAAGUUAUACCCUUUCUAUACACC